CUCGCCACCCUCACCGGCUUCUCCAACCCCCCCAGAUGGAAUCUCUGCCCCCCGUAACACCGAAGUCUGCGUGUUUAAUGGACGCCGUUGGAGCUUAAGAAGCUCCGCGCGGAGCUGACGCGUCUGUAAACAGGAGCCUGCCUGCGCUACAGCUCCAACAUGCACAGACUUGCAUCUGCAGAGCCUUUCGGGGAGGAGAAGAGAAGAAGAGGAGAAACUCAAACUGGGAGCGUUGUGUUCCUCUUUUCAACUCGUGGUUUCCAAACAUACUUUGGUCUUUUUUGGCAACAGAGAGUCCAUAUUGACGGACUUUUGACGUGUCCGGCCAAGCAGCACAUCGCUAACACAACCUGGACGCUCGUGCUAAUCCAGUAGUUGUAAGUGUUUGUGAUGGCGCCUCUGUGAUCCGCAGUUUGUAUUGGAAGUUUCUCCCUUUGUGCCGCUCUGUUCGGCUCAGAACGCCUCCAGCGCUCUUCCUCUUCCUUCCUUUUCCUUCCGACAGCGACGCGAAAAAAAAAUCCAGCGCGAGUUCUUUGAGCGCUGUCUGCACGGCCCUCGAUCCGGUUGGAAAUAAAAGGGAUGACAGCUCUGGGGCACAUUGUCUCAGCUCUCUUUUGUUCUGAGAGACUUUCUGAUUACCUUUUGCUCCAGAACUCAGAGCUGCUCUCUCUGCAGUACCCUGAUCAAUCUGAUGUUUCAACAACGGGGCGGCAGAAUUAGCCGCAAUGGCUGUUUAAGAAAGGAUCCUGGCAGCGCUUGGACCUGAUCUCCACUGCAGACUUUCAUUUAAUGCAGACGUGUGUGUCCGCGGUGCUGUGAGCUGUGUGAGGUCAGACCUGCCUCAGAAAGCUACAGAUUUCUGAACGAGGGCAAAAAUCAUAUCAGACUCUGAUGUGACCGCACGUGGGAGCUGCUUCCACGUUCUGAUCCGAUAUUAACACGUUCGGCAUCAGCGCCGACACACAGACACAAUCUAUACACACUUAUUCUGCUGUGCUCAGUUUGACAUUUGACCUUUGACCUCUCCUAUGUUCAAUUCUGAUUCAGUCAACCCCAUCUGACAUCUAGCUUUGAAACCCCUCCUGGGCUACCACCUUAUCGUGGUGGAGGGGUUUGCGUGUCCCAAUGAUCCUAGGAGCUCCGCCUGGGGCUUUAUGCUCCUGGUAGGGCCACCCAUGGCAAACAGGUCCUAGGUGGGGGAACAAGUUUCCCUUGCCUGGAUGCGGGUCACCGGGGGCCCCUCCUGGAGCCAGGCCUGGGGGCGGGGCACGUUGGCGAGUGCC
rnacentral:lncRNA from 1 species